rnacentral:lncRNA from 10 species
CAGGAUUAGGCAAGUACAGGAUCACUGGACAUGGAGAGCUUUUUUCUCCCUAAAGGGGGAAACUUGAGAGCCGAUGGGACUGCUGGAAAAGAUCCCUUCACUACUGUCAAGUAGCUGCCUGAACUUUUAUUCAGUGUGGCUGCAAUGGAGACCACAUGUUAAAUCUCCUGGUCAGAAGAUCAUUCCACCCAACCCUGAAUGGAUUAAAGUUGACAGGGCCCAACCAGGGGUUCCGUCCUUCCUUGCCAAUGAGACGCCCUACAAAGUUAUUAUGGGCCAGGAUCUUCAGGGGAACCUCGUCAGCCCUUGGGAAGACAAAGGAAGAAGUGGAAGACAAGAGUUCCUUCAAUUGUGGGCUUCAUGAAGACUCAAUCACCAUGCCACCCCAGACUUGGCAUUUCCAAGUAAAACAUCUCAAAACUUAUCAAACUGCAUACUUUAAAAAUAUGUAUGAUUUAUUAUACAUCAAUUGAACAUCAAUAAAGCCAAUUUGUUUUAUUUUUUGAGACAGGGUCUCACUCUAUCACCCAGGCUGGAAUGCAGUGGCACUAUCAAGGCUCACCACAGCCUUGACCUCCUGGGCUCAUGCGAUCCUCCCUUCUCAGCCUUCCGAGUAGCUGGGACUAUACGCACAGGCCGCCACGUCCAGCUGAUUUUUCUAUUUUCUGUAGAGGUGAGGUUUCACUAUGUUGCCCAGGCUGGUCUAGAACUCCUAGCCUCCAAAGUGCUGGGAUUAGAGGCAUGAGCCACCGUGCCCAGCCAAUAAAGCUAUUUUAAACAGCACAAGUGUGUAAAGGAACAUGUGUAAGCAGAUUCCUUGCAUCACUGUUUUCUGAUAAGGAAAAGUUUAAAACAAUUUAAACACCCAUCAAGAAAUAGGAGAUUGAUUACAUGAACUAUGAAUAGCUAUACUGUGGAAUUCUAUGCAGCUAUAAAAAUAAUGCGGUCUGUCCAUAUGUACUAAUAUAUGUGCUGAUACAGAAAAUGAAAAAAGUAUAGAACAGCCUGUUCAGUGUGAUUCUCUCUGAGCUAAAACACAUGUGCAUACACGCACAAGUGAAUACACACAGGCACACAUAUCCGUACAUGCAGGCACGCAGACACAAUAUACACACACCUGUGAGUGCACAGAAUUUCUAGGAGGUCAUACGACAGGAAUAAGAAGGGAUGGGGUGUGGUGGCACACGCCUGUAAUCCCAGCUCUUUGGGAGGCUGAGCUGGGUGGGUCACUUGAGUCCAGGAGUUCAAGACCAGCCUGGGUAACAUGGCGACACCCCAUCUCUACAAAAAUCACAAAAAACUAGGCAGGCGUGGUGGUGCAUGCAUGUUGUCCUAGCUACUCAGAAGGCUGAGGCGGGAGGAUCCCUUGAGAUCCAGAGGCAGAGGUUGCAGUGAGCUGAGAUCAUGCCACUGUACUCCAGCCUAGGUGACAAAGUCCUGUAAGAAGAAAGAUUUUAUUUCUCAGUUUACAUCUUUUUGUGCAAUUGCUGACUGUAUUUCUUAUAUGUCUGUAUAAAAGCUUGAAAGUUGAGUUGGGGAGGCUCAACUGGACUAGCAGACCCUGAAGAUCCAAGAAAAGCUGGAGACUUACGUUUUGGUGUCCUUAGCCUCUUUAUGCAUAAUCUCCAAGAUCAUCUUACAAGCGGAGGAGCAGCCCUCAGGGGUGGAGUGCACACUGAUGGCUUUUUCAGCUGCACCUGCGUUCUCCUUCCUAUGCACGUCUAUCCUGGGGGCCACAAGGACAAGGCUGGUUAGUUGUCCCCAGUGAUACCAGUACUUCAGGCUCCCCACCCCACUACCCCUCCUCAGUCAAAGGCAUAGAACCUGCUCUUCUUGAAACAAGGACAAUCAAGUACAACUUUGGGAAGGGCAAUGAAAGGACUGGAGAAAUAUGACCCGUCUGUUACUGUGGAUUCUGUCUCAGACCAGCAGUGUCUCAAUCCACAGGUGGUUGGUGGCCAGGCACGGGAGCUCACGCCUGUAAUUCCAGCACUUUUG